rnacentral:rRNA from 1 species
GUGUCAGCAGCCGCGGUAACACGGGGGGAGCAAGCGUUGUUCGGAAUCACUGGGCGUAAAGGGCGUGUAGGCGGUCAAGUGAGUGUGAUGUGAAAUCCCUCGGCUCACCCGAGGACCGGCAUCGCAUACUGCUUGGCUUGAGUACGGGAGAGGAUGUGGGAAUUCCUGGUGUAGCGGUGAAAUGCGUAGAUAUCAGGAGGAACACCGGUGGCGAAGGCGCACAUCUGGCCCGAUACUGACGCUGAGGCGCGAAAGCUAGGGGAGCAAACGGGAUUAGAAACCCUUGUAGUCC